ensembl:lincRNA 5730419F03Rik RIKEN cDNA 5730419F03 gene
ACUUGCGUUCAAAACCAGUCUGCUUUAAGGGGAAUUGCCAGAUCCAUUCUCCUAGACUCCCUGCCUGUACACACUGCUGUGAGGGGGCAAAAGUGACUUAACCCUCCUCUCCUUGUUUUCCUCUCGGGACAAAUGAAAUCCAGACAGGAGCAGCCCAGUGAGGAGCUUAUCAUGGGAUAAGGAGGCCGACUGGCUCCAGGAAAAACUUCAACAAGAUCAGUUACAGGAGCCAGGUGGAACGUGUGCUUCCCUCCAGGAUAGAUUUCAGAUUUUUGCCUGCAGCUACCUGUUGGGAUCAAAACACCCUGCCCCUGCAUUUUAAUUCUUUGAUCAGAAGAGAAGAACAAACUGGAUCCAGACUCCUAGCUGGCAAUAUGAAGAUGAUAAGAGAAGAUAAUAAGGAAAAUGAUGGAAGUUGAUAUAUACACAUGUAUGUAUGAAAUUAUGAAAUAACAACUAUAGAAGGAGAGACAUGAAGUCAGACAUGGUAACACAUACCUGGAAUCCUGUCACCCUGGCAAGGUGUGAGGGUUUGCCUACCGCCAACUCAAUUACUAUCUGGCUUUUAGUCUAAUCUGUAAGGUGCUUGUUAGAACUGUUUGAUAUCUUUUGGGAAAGGGGGCAAGUUUCCCCUCUGGCUGGUGCCCUUUCCUUCUCCUGGCAAGAGCUAGCAUGAGAUUCCUGGGGAAUUCUCAUUUCAGGAAGUCAGUCCACUGUUUCAACCGUCUGACAGUCAGUGCAGGAAAUCAAGAGACAUCAGAUCCCCUAGAACUAGAGAAACAACAACAACAAAACGAUUAAAAACUGAUCCAUGUGGGCUGAGAACCAAACCCAGGACCUCUGCAAGAACAGCAAGGGCUCUUAACCACUGAGCCAUCUCGCCAGCCCUGAUACAAAGGUCUCUUUAGAAUAUCUUCAUUCCUACCAUGCUGGUUACAUCUGGCAGAUCAUGACUUCCAAACCAGCCUGGGCCCAUAGCAAAACCCUGUCCCAGAGACAAGGAAGGAAAUAACCAGCACUCAGGAAGCAGAGGCAGGAGGAUCAAUUGAAAUUUGAGGUCAACCUUGGCUAACUUGUCUCGAAAACCAAAUGAUGAAAUAAACCACGACCGAAAACAGACAAGAAGAAAAGCGCUAUCGGGUAAUUCCUUCCUUGGUUCCUAAUCUGGUGGAGGCCGUGGUUAUGUGAGGACACAGGAGAAGGUGGUCGUGUGUAAGCCAGCAGUGGAGAGUCAUGCUAAUCUUAAACUUCUCUAAAAUCUAGGCUGAGGAGGAAAGAAAUCUGCUGGUUAAGUCAGCAAGUCCAGCACUGUCACGGUAGUUCAGCUCGAAAAGACAGGCAAUGGGACUGAUGACCUGAAUUUGAUCCCUGGGACCUAUAUGAUGGAAAGAAAGAGCAAGUCCUCCCAGCUGUCAUCUGACCUCCACAUUCCUGCACGGCAUGCCCGGUUCUCAGGCACAUACAACCACAGGAGCAAAAUUAACAGAUAAAUGUCAUUUAAAAAGAAAAUCAUGCCACAUAGUCUACAGUGCUUCCUUAGCUGAGGUGACAGAGCAUAGAGACGGAGCCCCCAAAACAACCAACUUGUGCCCCGCAGUUUAGAUCUGGGCCUAACACAGGCAAGAGUGAGCUGUCUUCAGACCUGUGGCUACAGACCCAGCGAGCCUCUCUGUUGUGGAAGUUAUGUGAAUCUUAGCCUAGGAGCUUCAUGGCCUUUAUAUGAGCCACAUGAUCUUCCCUUCCCCCGAGGAACAGCAGGUCUCACUUUCUCGAAAUUACAAAUGUUGUCAUUUUUGUGAGACUCAAGCUGACAUGUCAGGAAACACUUGUAUAAAAGCCAUCUAAAAAUACACACCAACUUGUCAUAGUUCCUGUCUUUAGGAGGAGUUGGAGAGAGGAUAGGAUUAGUUUUCAAUAAUUCAACUGCUUUAUGGUUUUAAAAAACCCAACUAUACGCUGUACCAGAAAGAAAUGCUACUUUCUGGUUAUUUCUUAUUGGUAUGAGCUUGACUCCCAGCCGGGUCCAGAAAUACCAUCUUACUGAAGAAGGAGGAGGAGGAGUUAAUUUUGGAAAUAAAGAUUAAGAGUAUUU